CAAUUUCCCAUAAUGGGCCGGCGAGUGCUGCUAGUGUUGGUGCUGCUGCUACUAUUGCUGCUGCUGCUGCUGCCGCCGCUGCUCACAGCCCAGCUGGCCCUGAUCCUCCCUUUGAAAGGAAGGGCCCGCUGCUGUCUUGGCCACUACCCUGCGCUGCCGGGCCGCUCCCCAAACCCGGUUCUCGAGCCUCCCUUCUACAAACAGGAAAUAACACUGUCAAACCAACAGCUUGUGGGAGCAAGAAAACCGCCCUAAGCUUCUUCAUCGAGUUAAAGAGCUUUCUAUUUUCUCCUUGUGGGUUCUUUAGCUAGCCAGGCUGGCUGGAUAAGCAAGUCCGCCAGUGAAUGCCUCCUUUUUCUAAGUUGAAAGUAAAUAAAACAUCCCACGAGGCUGUCUCCAGCCCUUUAAUAGAACCAUUUCUGUUGAUUACCCACAUUGGUAUCCAACAGGACUGCAGUUGGUUGUAAACAUCUGGGGGGGAGGAGAUCCUGGAGGAGAGGUGUUAAUUUAGUUAAAGGCUUUCUUCGAUGAAUCUCAUUUUGGCAGGAGGAAAUCAAGACAAGCUGCCUAAUACCAUUCCAUCUACAAGCUUUUGCAGUUCCUCACAAACCAAGAUUAAAAUGUGAGAUGGUGCUUUUAGGUUUACCUUUUAUAAGUUGGUUGAGAUAACUUUAAAAAUUGUGAGCGAUAUAUACAAUGCUGACAAUAAAGGAAGUUAAAACAGUAUAAAAGGAAGCUGAACAAUCUUAACUGCAACGAACAAUCUUCGUUCCAGACAACAGAAGAUGAAAGCUACAUCUACUCCACCAGGAGCCUCCCAAAGAGUGAACUAGCUCUGGAAAUGCUUGGGUCAACUUCAUCAUCUAUGUGUACAUCCCUGGAAAGUAUACUGCCAAGAUAGUGGAAUAAUCUUCCUGAUCUGGCCAGGCCAGGCCUCUGCUCAGAAGUCUUCGAAGGUUCCUGGUUGCCUGUGAAAUCAAAUUCAAACUCUUUUACCUAAAAUUUAAAAUUCUAUGUAAUUGGACUUCCAGUCAAGCCUGGGGUAUGUCGUGUGUAUCACAUGUGGAAGGAGAUGGGACUCCUGAUUGGCUUCAAGAAUGCAGAGGCAAUGAUGCUUACCUACUGUGUAGAGGGCUCCUGAGAUGGUUCCAGAGCUUCUUCAGAAGAGGUGUGGGGAGUCCAACGCUCUUUGGGAAAGAGUCGAGGAGAGAGAAGUAACACAUAUGUAGGGGAAGCCAGCUGUUCAACACAUCCCCGAUUUCCAGUUUACUUCCCCGGGGAUUGAAUGGACGUCCUGGGGAAGAUUAGGCCCUCUCCAUUAGCCCUCUCCCAGUUGAAGAGGUUAUUCCCUCUUAUCUAUUUUCUGUCAUGUUAAGAUCUGUAGAACUUCUCCAAUUUCUGUUUGUUAUUAUACAUGGUUAAAUAAGCUUUUUCUCUACUUA